rnacentral:snRNA from 1 species
GUGCUUGCUUCAGCAGCACUUAUACUAAAAUUGGAACGAUACAGAGAAGAUUAGCAUGGCUCCUGCACAAGAAUGACAUGCAAAUUCGUGAAGCGUUUCAUAUUUUU